rnacentral:misc_RNA from 1 species
AGAGUGUGUCCUUUUCAGCUAAUCUCUAGUGUAGUUUGACUCAAUCAAGUUAUUGUUUAGCAUUUCUCCCUUGUCGUAUGAUGUCUUCUUACAAUUUUAGCACACUUUGGUUAUUUUUUUUAAUUAUUAAAAGUUCCCUUUCUUUUGUUUGUCUAACAAUCUGUCUGGCAUCCCUGAUUUGAAACGAAUAUAAACUAGUUUUGUAAUCAUCUGGUUUAAAUGUGUA